GUCGGUGUGGCUCAGUUGGUUAGAGCGUUGGUCUCAUAGCAUGAUUUGGCCCCAGGUCAGAGUAAUCCAAAGGUCGAGAGUUCGAGCCUCUCCACCGACA
rnacentral:tRNA from 1 species